AUACGUAGGGUGCAAGCGUUAAUCGGAAUUACUGGGCGUAAAGCGUGCGCAGGCGGUUUUGUAAGACAGUGGUGAAAUCCCCGGGCUCAACCUGGGAACUGCCAUUGUGACUGCAGGGCUGGAGUGCGGCAGAGGGGGAUGGAAUUCCGCGUGUAGCAGUGAAAUGCGUAGAUAUGCGGAGGAACACCGAUGGCGAAGGCAAUCCCCUGGGCCUGCACUGACGCUCAUGCACGAAAGCGUGGGGAGCAAACAGGAUUAGAUACCCUGGUAGUCCACGCCCCAAACGAUGUCAACUGGUUGUUGGGGAUUUAUUUUCUCAGUAACGAAGCUAACGCGUGAAGUUGACCGCCUGGGGAGUACGGCCGCAAGGUUAAAACUCAAAGGAAUUGACGGGG
rnacentral:rRNA from 1 species